CUCUCGCUAGUGGGAUCGAACCACUGGCCUCAAGAUUAACAGUCUCGCGCUCUACCAACUGAGCUAAGCGAGA
rnacentral:tRNA from 1 species